UACGUAGGUGGCAAGCGUUGUCCGGAUUUACUGGGCGUAAAGAGCGCGCAGGCGGUCGUUCAAGUCGCGUGUGAAAGCCCCCGGCUCAACUGGGGAGGGUCACGCGAUACUGAUCGACUCGAAGGCAGGAGAGGGUAGUGGAAUUCCCGGUGUAGUGGUGAAAUGCGUAGAUAUCGGGAGGAACACCAGUGGCGAAGGCAGCUGCCUGGGCCAGUUCUGACGCUGAGGCGCGAAAGCGUGGGGAGCAAACAGG
rnacentral:rRNA from 1 species